GACGAACGCUGGCGGCGUGCUUAACACAUGCAAGUCGAACGGAAAGGCCCUGCUUUUGUGGGGUGCUCGAGUGGCGAACGGGUGAGUAACACGUGAGUAACCUGCCCUUGACUUUGGGAUAACUUCAGGAAACUGGGGCUAAUACCGGAUAGGAGCUCCUGCUGCAUGGUGGGGGUUGGAAAGUUUCGGCGGUUGGGGAUGGACUCGCGGCUUAUCAGCUUGUUGGUGGGGUAGUGGCUUACCAAGGCUUUGACGGGUAGCCGGCCUGAGAGGGUGACCGGCGACGUGCGGGAUGUAUGAUCUGCCAGACGUGGAGGUGUGGGAGGUGGUGCGAAGAUUGCGCCACGGACGGACGACAGAGGCAGCAACGGGGGGUGGGGCAUGAGUGGGAGGGUGUUGUAAACCGCUUGCGCGGACGACGGAGGGAGGUUGAUGGUAGUUGGAAAAGAAGCACCGGAUAACGAAGUAACAGCGGCCGGGUUAAUAGGCGGAAGAGCAGAGGGGUGAAA
rnacentral:rRNA from 1 species